rnacentral:rRNA from 1 species
AGUGAACGCUGGCGGUAGGCCUAACACAUCCAAGUCGAACGGCAGCACAGUAAGAGCUUGCCCUUACGGGUGGCGAGUGGCGGACGGGUGAGGAAUACAUCGGAAUCUACUUUUUCGUGGGGGAUAACGUAGGGAAACUUACGCUAAUACCGCAUACGACCUACGGGUGAAAGCAGGGGAUCUUCGGACCUUGCGCGAUUGAAUGAGCCGAUGUCGGAUUAGCUAGUUGGCGGGGUAAAGGCCCACCAAGGCGACGAUCCGUAGCUGGUCUGAGAGGAUGAUCAGCCACACUGGAACUGAGACACGGUCCAGACUCCUACGGGAGGCAGCAGUGGGGAAUAUUGGACAAUGGGCGCAAGCCUGAUCCAGCCAUACCGCGUGGGUGAAGAAGGCCUUCGGGUUGUAAAGCCCUUUUGUUGGGAAAGAAAAGCAGCAGGUUAAUACCCCGCUGUUCUGACGGUACCCAAAGAAUAAGCACCGGCUAACUUCGUG